rnacentral:rRNA from 1 species
UACGAAGGGAGCUAGCGUUGCUCGGAAUCACUGGGCGUAAAGCGCACGUAGGCGGAUUGUUAAGUCAGGGGUGAAAUCCUGGAGCUCAACUCCAGAACUGCCUUUGAUACUGGCGAUCUUGAGUCCGGGAGAGGUGAGUGGAACUCCGAGUGUAGAGGUGAAAUUCGUAGAUAUUCGGAAGAACACCAGUGGCGAAGGCGGCUCACUGGCCCGGUACUGACGCUGAGGUGCGAAAGCGUGGGGAGCAAACAGG